GUGCUCACUUCGGCAGCACAUAUACUAAAAUUGGAACGAUACAGAGAAGAUUAGCAUGGCCCCUGUGCAAGGAUGACACACAAAUUCGUGAAGCAUUCCAUAUUAAA
ensembl:snRNA U6 U6 spliceosomal RNA